CACGGCUCCCACGCAGCUCACUACAGACAUGACCAGAGCAGCAGGAACCAAAGGGAGACCUGCCCAUUGUCACUUUCUUAAUCUCUGAUCUCUUGAGAUGUUGCUAUAUGAACACAUCGGGACUGUGUCUGCAGGAAGGAGCUCCCCAUUCGAGGCCUUCACAGUGUCACCCACAUUCACCUCUUUCCACUUAAUCGUGUCCCAUGAAUCUUGUCAUAACAGUUUUGUGUUCCUUAACUAUUUUGUCUGCCAUGUCAUUUAUGAUGUAUAACCUCUUUAAUGCCUGAAAUCAUAAGAAUAAUCAUCAAAGGCAAGAGGGUUGUAUAUUUUCCCGUUGGAGACACAUCUGGAAUUUGCUGCAAUAAAAUAAUAAUAAGAAAGCA